rnacentral:rRNA from 1 species
GAUGAACGCUGGCGGCGUGCCUAACACAUGCAAGUCGAACGGAGUUAUUAUUAUGAAGUUUUCGGAUGGAUUAAUAAUAACUUAGUGGCGGACGGGUGAGUAACGCGUGGGUAACCUGCCUCAUACAGGGGGAUAACAGUUGGAAACGGCUGCUAAAACCGCAUAACAUUGCGAUGUCGCAUGACAAUGCAAUUAAAUAUUUAUAGGUAUGAGAUGGGCCCGCGUCUGAUUGGCUAGUUGGUGGGGUAAUGGCCUACCAAGGCGACGAUCAGUGGCCGGCUUGAGAGAGUGACCGGCCACAUUGGGACUGAGACACGGGCCAAACUCCUACGGGAGGCAGCAGUGGGGAAUAUUGCACAAUGGGGGAAACCCUGAUGCAGCGACGCCGCGUAAGUGAAGAAGUAUUUCGGUAUGUAAAGCUCUAUCAGCAGGGAAGAAAAUGACGGUACCUGACUAAGAAGCCCCGGCUAACUACGUGCCAGCCGCCGCCGUAA